AACGAACGCUGGCGGCAGGCCUAAUACAUGCAAGUCGAACGCCUGUAGCAAUACAGGAGUGGCGCACGGGUGAGUAACACGUGGGUAUCUACCUAGCUGUACGGAACAACCGCGGGAAACUGCGGCUAAUACCGUAUACGCCCUUCGGGGAAAGGAUUUAUCGCAGCUAGAUGAGCCCGCGUCCGAUUAGCUAGUUGGCGGGGUAAUGGCCCACCAAGGCGACGAUCGGUAGCUGGUCUGAGAGGAUGACCAGCCACACUGGGACUGAGACACGGCCCAGACUCCUACGGGUGGCAG
rnacentral:rRNA from 1 species